UACAGAGGUGCCAAGCGUUAGGCGGAAUCACUGGGCUUAAAGCGCGUGUAGGUGGACGGGUAAGUAUCUUGUGAAAUCCCACGGCUCAACCGUGGAACUGCUGGAUAUACUGCUUGUCUUGAGGCACUUAGGGGCAGCUGAAACAAAUGGUGGAGCGGUGAAAUGCGUAGAUAUCAUUUGGAACGCCAAAGGCGAAAGCAGGCUGCUGGGAGUGAUCUGACACUGAGACGCGAAAGCCAGGGGAGCAAACGGG
rnacentral:rRNA from 1 species